rnacentral:rRNA from 1 species
AAAUUGAAGAGUUUGAUCAUGGCUCAGAUUGAACGCUGGCGGCAGGCCUAACACAUGCAAGUCGAACGGUAACAGGAAGCAGCUUGCUGCUUUGCUGACGAGUGGCGGACGGGUGAGUAAUGUCUGGGAAACUGCCCGAUGGAGGGGGAUAACUACUGGAAACGGUAGCUAAUACCGCAUAACGUCGCAAGACCAAAGAGGGGGACCUUAGGGCCUCUUGCCAUCGGAUGUGCCCAGAUGGGAUUAGCUAGUAGGUGGGGUAAUGGCUCACCUAGGCGACGAUCCCUAGCUGGUCUGAGAGGAUGACCAGCCACACUGGAACUGAGACAC